rnacentral:rRNA from 1 species
AUUGAACGCUGGCGGCAUGCUUUACACAUGCAAGUCGAACGGUAACAGGCCGCCAGGUGCUGACGAGUGGCGGACGGGUGCGUAAUGCAUCGGAACGUGCCCAGUCGUGGGGGAUAACUACUCGCAAGAGUAGCUAAUACCGCAUACGAUCUAUGGAUGAAAGCGGGGGACCGUAAGGCCUCGCGCGAUUGGAGCGGCCGAUGUCAGAUUAGGUAGUUGGUGGGGUAAAGGCUCACCAAGCCAACGAUCUGUAGCUGGUCUGAGAGGACGACCAGCCACGCUGGGACUGAGACACGGCCCAGACUCCUACGGGAGGCAGCAGUGGGGAAUUUUGGACAAUGGGCGCAAGCCUGAUCCAGCAAUGCCGCGUGCAGGAAGAAGGCCUUCGGGUUGUAAACUGCUUUUGUACGGAACGAAACGGCUCUGGUUAAUACCCGGGGCUAAUGACGGUACCGUAAGAAUAAGCACCGGCUAACUACGUG